AACAUCCCUAGAGGCACUGCAUGUUUGGCUGCUAUGUCACAUGUUUGUCAGUAGGUGGCAGAGAGGAGAGGCUGUGUCUAUGCUUGGUGCUCUGGUCUAGCAACAUCUGAAUAUUAGUAAUCUAAUAUU
ensembl:snoRNA Gm22777 small nucleolar RNA SNORA17